UACGUAGGGGGCAAGCGUUGUCCGGAUUUAUUGGGCGUAAAGAGCGUGUAGGCGGCCUGAAAGGUCAGCUGUGAAAACUCGAGGCUCAACCUCGAGACGUCGGUUGAAACCAUCUGGCUAGAGUCCGGAAGAGGAGUGUGGAAUUCCCGGUGUAGCGGUGAAAUGCGUAGAGAUCGGGGAGGAACAUCAGUGGCGAAGGCGGCCAUCUGGGACAACACUGACGCUGAGGCACGGAAAGCGUGGGGAGCAAACAGG
rnacentral:rRNA from 1 species